rnacentral:rRNA from 1 species
GAUGAACGCUGGCGGCGUGCCUAAUACAUGCAAGUCGAGCGAACGGACGAGAAGCUUGCUUCUCUGAUGUUAGCGGCGGACGGGUGAGUAAUACGUGGAUAACCUACCUAUAAGACUGAGAUAACUUCGGGAAACCGUAGCUAAUACCGGAUAAUAGUUUGAACCGCAUGGUUCAAAAGUGAAAGACGGUCUUGCUGUCACUUAUAGAUGGAACCGCGCUGCAUUAGCUAGUUGGUAAGGUAACGGCUUACCAAGGCAACGAUGCAUAGCCGACCUGAGAGGGUGAUCAGCCACACUGGAACUGAGACACGGUCCAGACUCCUACGGGAGGCAGCAGUAGGGAAUCUUCCACAAUGGGCGAAAGCCUGACGGAGCAACGCCGCGUGAGUGAUGAAGGUCUUCGGAUCGUAAAACUCUGUAAGUAGGGAAGAACAUAUGUAUAAGUAACUGUGCACAUCUUGACGGUACCUAAACAGAAAGCCACGGCUAACUACGUG